rnacentral:misc_RNA from 1 species
GAGAGAGAGAGAGAGAGAGUUUGUAUUAUUUUAAUUAUCCGUGCCGGAGGUGGAUUAAAACACGAAGAAGAAAAUAUAAACAUAAAAUAUGCCAACAACUUUCAUACAAUCUCUCUUUUCUCAGGGUACAGAAAAGAAAACUAUGAACACAAUUGAGACGAAUUUUUACCCAACUGUAUUUCGUCUCCCUUGCACUAUAGCACUGAAGGAAGGAUGGGAAAUGCCUAAAGAAAAAUCAAACAACAGCUUUAAAAUAAGAGAAAAAAAAAUGUAAUAAUUAAAGAUACUUGUACAUAUGAAAAAUUAAAAAAUAAUAAUAAAAAU